GAGCUGGGAUUACAGGUGUGAGCCACCACACUCACUUUUCAUUAUUAUGUUUGUCUUUUUAUUUUUGAGUUGUAUGAGUGAUCCGUAUUGUCUGGAUAAUAGUCCUCUGUCAGCUCUGUGAUUUGGAAAUAUUUUCUUACUUUCCUGGAUUGUCUCAGUGGUGUACUUUGAAUCACAAAAGUUAAAUCUGAUGAAAUCUAUUUUAUCCAGUGUUUUCUUUUGUCACUUGUAUUUUGGUGUCAUAUUUUAGAAUUGAUUGUUUCACCUAAGGUGAAGACGUUUCUUUUUUGGGAUUUUUAGUUUUAGCAUUUAUAUUUAGGUCGAUGUUUGAUUUUGAGUCAAUGACAUAUGGUAUAAGACAGUUCAGUUUGCAUGUGGAUACCACUUAUCCCAGAAAAUUCGUUGCAAAAAGUGUUUUUCCAUAUUGUAUUGUCUUGGCAAACUUUUAAAAUUAAUUUUACCAUAUAUGUAAAGAUUAAUUUGAGGCACCCAGCUCAAUUCCAUUAACACAUAUGUCAGUCCUCAUAUUGGUACUACAAUAUCUUGAUUACUAUCAGUUUGCAGUACAUUUUGAAAUUUGGAAGUGUGACUCAAAUACUCCAAAAUUAUUUUUUCAAGAUUGUUUUGCCUCUUCUGGAGUACUUCGAUUUCCAUAGGAAUUUAAGAAUCAGCUUGCCAAUUACUGCAAAAAAAUGGAAAAAAAAGUUUCUGGAUUUCAUUUUUUGGGAUUGUUAGCACAUAGAAAUAUAGUUGAUUUCAAAGUUUACUUUGUGUACUGCAAUGUUACUGAACUCUUUUUUGGUUAUAAUCUUAUUUUAGUGGAUAUGUCAGGAUUUUCUAUACAUGAGGUCCUGUCAUUUGCAAAUAUAAACAGUAUGACUUCUUGCUUUACAAUCGAAGUAUCUUUUAUUUAUUUUCUAGCCUAAUUACCCUGGCUACAUCCUCCUGUACAAUGUUGAAUAGAAGUGGCAAAAGUGGACAUCUUUGUCACAUUUCUAAUCUUGGGGAAAUUACUGAGACUUUCAUGAUACCUUAUGUUAUGUGAGCUUUUAAUGGAUGCCCUUUCUAGGUUGAGAAAGUUCCCUUCUAUCCCCAAUUUGUUCAGAGUUUUUAUCAUGAAUAGGUUGUGGGUGUAUUGAAUGCUUACUCUGCAUCUUUUGCAAUAAUCAUAUGGAUUUUGGCCUUUAUCUUAUUAAUACAAUGUCUUACACCUAUUGCUUUUGUACGUUUAACCAAACUGACAUUCCAGUGAUGAAUAUCCUUGGUAAUAGUGUAUAAUCCUUUUCAUAUGUUGCUGGUAUGUUUUGAUAGUAUUUCUUUGAGAAUUUUUUGCCUCUGUUUCAUGAGGCAUAUUGGUCUAUAAUUGUCCUAUCCUCAAAUAUAUUUGUUCUAUUGUGGGAUCAGGGUAACUGGCCUCGUAGAGUAGAUUGGCAAGUUUUGUCUUUUCUUUUUUUUCUUCUUGGAGGAAGAGUUAGUAAAGGAUUGUUAUUCAUUCUUAACAGAUUUAGAGUAAUUCACCGGUCAUCUCGCCCUAGACAGGAAUUGAAUUCUAACAACAAUUACAUGAGCUUGGAAGGGAAUCCUUCCCUAGACCCAGUCAUGAAUUCUUUGGGACCAUGUACUCCGUUGAGACUUACCUUAUGGUUUUCUGUUGAACAUUGCCAAGUCCAAAAGCCACAGGUUAAAUAUCAUAGUGGUAGCAGAAAUGUUCUCUAAAAUGCCUCUAGUUGGAAAGAAGAGGAACAGAGAUUUUUCUGGGAACCACAAGACAAAACAUGCUGAGAACAUCAUGAUGAAAAGGAGAGAUGGAAUCUUGCUUUGUUACCAGGCUAGAGUGCGUUGACACGAUCUC